UGCCGAAGAGGUGGUUGCACUAGGAAACGUGGUUGUUGGGUGGACUGAGAGAAUUGGACCAUAAGCUGUGCAUCUGAAGGUAAAAACCUCGGGAACAAAUUUUGUAAAUUCUCAAAUUAUUAUUUAAGAUGAUCAUAAGCUUAGUCAGAAGCUUGCAUCAGCUGAUCAUAACCUAUUGGAUGUAGAUGAUUGUGGUUCAAUGUAGCUCAUCAUAACCCUUUCAUUCUUUCUCUUUUUCCAGAAUAACCCCUGGUCAAAGAGGGCCAAUUGGACAAAGCUGAGGUGCCCUAAGUGCAGCUAGCGAAAUGCACCAUUUUGAAACCCUGAGUUAAUUGAAACGCAACAUUUUUGGAGUGCAGAGGUAGCUGAUUGAAGGUUGGAUGCGACAAGGGGCUUCAACAAAAUUCUUUCCCAAAUUGAACCCUCGAGCUACGGUUCGAAGAAGCUCUAAAGGAAGAAGUGCACUAAGGUGGUUCAGUUCUUUCUCCUUUUUUCGCUUUCUAGUUUAGUAGAAAGUUCUGUUAGAGAUUAGAGUCUCGGUUAGUUCAGUUCUUUUAGGGGGAUUUCUUAUUCCCAGAUUUUAGCUUCUGAUUGUUGAUUAGAAUUAGAUAACAGAGUAGUUCUUUCUCCAUAUUUUCGAAUUCAGUGCUUCUUUCUUCAUUAGAAUCAGAGUAGAGAGUGAUUUUUGGAUCUUCUUCUUUGGAGAUUGCUGAAGGAUUCUCACUAGCACAAAAAGGUCGUGAACUUUUCUUUAGAGUAUUUCUGGUACCCUUUUGUAACUCAAUUGUUGAUUCAAAUAAAACUCUGAAGUUUCUUUUGUUUUUUUGUUUGUUCAAGAUUUACGGUUCUGCUCUUUACUUUCUUUUCUUGCAUGAUUCUUUAUUUUUUAGCACUUGUUUAUUACCAUUUUAAGUUCAGGGAUUGUAUUUUGGUUCCUUUGAUCAUAGCUGUUGUGUUCGUUGUAUCCUUGAUAUGUUUCUGAUUUGAUUGAUUGAAAUUAGACUAGGAUUUACUUGUUGCACACUCGGGUAUGUGGGAUUGUUUGUUUUGGUUAAUCUGAUACUUUAGUCACCAUGAUUUGUGCAUUAUAGUUGUUGUAGUAUGAGCAUAAUGCAGACUUGAGAUUUUGAACUUUUGAGAGUUUGAAGGCGAACCUACACCUUUAUGUGUCUGAAUUAGAUGCUAUAGGACCCCAAAGUGGGUCUGAUUCCAUCAAGAUGUCUUCAUGAGACAGGUUGGGCUUCAGAUUACCAAAUAGGUUAAUUCCCAGUUCUGCAUUUGCUUUGCUUCUUAGGAUUCUACUUGUAUCUUUGUAAUUGGUUUCUCUGCAGAGUGUAGUGUAGUAAGCAAUGUUCUUGGCAGCUUUGAGUCUUGCAAAUAUGAUAGGUUCCUGGAUAGGGAACCUAAUCAAGAACUUGCUUUUUGACACAAAACGACGCAAGGUAUGAAUGAAACUGUGUAGUAUUGACAAAAAGAAUGUUUGUACAACAAGAAAGUAGAGGCUUAACCCUCUCCAUAGGUCAAUACCUGUUUUACAAUCCAAUCCCCAAAAGUACCUCCCCACUAACUAAUCCUCUAUUUAUAACUACCUCACCUGCCCCUCCUUAACUGUUGUAAGCAAUUAAGAGAUAACAGCUAGUUAGUUAGCCUUCUUUCUUCUCUCGUACACUAUCCAUCUCUGCCUAUUCCUUUCAGACCUAUCAAUACCCUCCGCCUGAAACUCAACCUUGUCCCCAAGGUUGAAAUCGGGGUAUUGCUCCCGGAUGGUCACUUCAUCCUCCCAAGUUGCCCCAUCUGGACCCCCUUCUUGCCACUCUAUCAAAAGUUGUGGCACGGUCUUCUUUCCUUGUUGUGCUUGCCUUCUUCCAAGGACACCCAUUGGCCAAAAUGACGGCCCUUCUGCCUGCAAGUCUCACAGCAACUCCUUCUCUACUCUUUGCUCGCCUAUAGCCCUUUUCAGUUGUGACACGUGAAAAAUAGGGUGCAUCCGUGCCAUAUCUAGCAGCUGCAGCUUGUAAGCUACCUCCCCCACCCUCUGGAUGAUCUUAAAUAGCCCGAAAUAUCUCGCUGCCAACUUUGGGUGAAGCCUAGUUGGCAUUGAAGUCUGCCUAUGGUGCCUUAUCCUUAGAUAAACCCAAUCUCCUACCUCCAUACUCGCUGGUUUCCUAUUUUUGUUGGCUUGCCGCCCCAUCAACUCCUGUGCCCUCUCCAGAUGGAACCUCAACUGCCUCAAGGCUUCAUCUCGGGUCUGAAGCUCUUGACUCACUGCCUCUACUAACGUUUCGCCUGGAAUGAAUCUAUGCAACGAGGGGGGCCGUCUCCCAUAAACUGUCUCAAACAGAGUGCACUUUAUAGCUCCUUGAUAGCUGGUAUUGUACCAAUACUCAGCCCAAGGUAAGACUGUCAUGGGUGGUAUGCGGUGCUCAUCUUCAACUAUUUGGAAUAGGACAACAUCUACCACAACUAAAACAACCUCUAACAUAACUAAGACAACUACAAAGUACAUUUCUUUCAACUACUAUUUUCACAUUUUACGAUCUUCACAUUUUGUCUAUCCAUCAAUUAUUCCUUUUAUAACCUCAAAAUACUAAUAGUUCUUUAAAGUCAAUACAAAGAUCAUAAAUAUGAAGCUGAACAACAUUGUUAAGUAUAUUCACUCAAGGAAAGGAAUUUAGCAGCAGUAGCAACAAAGAGGGUCUCGAUCUGAUUAGGUUUCUAAUAAGAAGGAACGCAACAUGGAGACUAAAGGGAGAACUGAUUAAAGACAAAGAAUUGAAAAGUUUCCAUGCGAAGAUUCAUGUGUAUGAAAGGAGGAAGCAAAAGCAUUGGUGUGAAACAGCUGGUUCAACAAGUGUAAAGCUAUCAUCAAUGCAGAUUGAUCCAAAGUAACAAAAUCACUCGAGGAAUAAUUGUAAAAUGGAUGAGGACUCAGCAUAAAAUCAAGGGUUAUGAAGGGAAAUUGUUGAGCAGAGGAAAGAUUGCAAUGGCCGAUAUACAGUAGAAUGUAUAAGUGUUUACAUAUGAGAAAAAGUUCAUAUUUAACAGCUGAAAAAGUGCAGAGAAGCAAAGCUCCAAAGAUCUUAGGUCUUCAAACUAGAAUAAUCGAGUUCAAAUUGAGACAGAGAAAAAUGAAUACGUGGGCAUUAAGAGGAAGAGGAGCUUUUGGAUUUUCAUCGAAUUCAGCUGUGAGUCUAUGUCACUGUUACUGUGCAUUAAGUGGUAUCGAUGCUGUGAGUCAUGAAGAUAGAUUGAAGAACAUAUAUGACAUGAUGUUAUGCAUACAAACAUUCCUUACAUAAACUUAUCUGGAUUAUCGUUAGAUAGAACUAUGAUAUUAUUUUAACUUCUCUAUUGUUCAUACAACCCUUAUAACUGGUGCGAAUACAUUUUUUUUCGUAAUUUUAAUAAGUUCAAUUAGGAUGCUCUAUUUUCAUGUUAUCUCUGUUGGACUUUCCUUCAAGUUUUCGAGCAAAGAAGUCCUUAAAAUACUGAUUAACUCUGAUACUCUUGAACUGUGGUGGUAUUUGAUCAGUUAUCAAACGUGGUGAAGGACCUAUGACAGCAUCUUCUCUAGGGCUAUAGAAUGUUGCAAAUGAAAGUCUUUCCUUCUCAGAAUUCACUGUUGCUCGAUGCUCAACACNNNN
rnacentral:lncRNA from 1 species